rnacentral:rRNA from 1 species
AGAGUUGAUCAUGCUCAGGACGAACGCUGGCGGCGUGCCUAACACAUGCAAGUCGAGCGAGGAGAUCCUUCGGGAUGAUCCUAGCGGCGGACGGGUGAGUAACACGUGGGCAACCUGCCUCAUAGAGAGGAAUAGCCUUCCGAAAGGGAGAUUAAUACCUCAUAACAUUGCAGUUUCGCAUGGAACAGCAAUUAAAGGAGUAAUCCGCUAUGAGAUGGGCCCGCGGCGCAUUAGCUAGUUGGUGAGGUAACGGCUCACCAAGGCGACGAUGCGUAGCCGACCUGAGAGGGUGAUCGGCCACAUUGGGACUGAGACACGGCCCAGACUCCUACGGGAGGCAGCAGUGGGGAAUAUUGCACAAUGGGGGAAACCCUGAUGCAAGCAACGCCGCGUGAGUGAUGACGGCCUUCGGGUUGUAAAGCUCUGUCUUCAGGGACGAUAAUGACGGUACCUGAGGAGGAAGCCACGGCUAACUACGUGCCAGCCGCUGC